GGCGGACGGAAGCGCAUCCUUGUGGCCCACUUCCGGUGGUGUCCGGACCGCGGGCUGCGCCGCCCGCCGCCCUCAGGAACUGUUUCCAGAAGCAGUGUGAGAAAGACAGUCACCUGCCAGGCACGAUUGCCGCCAUGCCCAAGAGAAAGGCCAAAAGAGAUGAAGCCAAAGGACACAAAUCGGAGGUGAAGCGUGAACCACAGAGGAGGUCGGCAAGGCUAUCUGCCAAGCCUGCCCCCCCAAAACGAGAGUCCCAGCCUAAAAAGUCCCCGGCAAAGAAGGGAAGGAAGCUGUCCAAAGGAAGAAAGGGGAAGGCAGCUGCUGGCAAUGCUGGGGACAGAGGUGCCUCUACAGUCUCGUUACAGAUGGUGGAGGGCACUGAAGAUGCCAAAUGAUGUGUGCCCUGUGUUUGGUAGCCAUGCACUUUUAGACUGCUGCUUAGAAACCUCUCUUCUUCAAGGUCAUAAAAAUGUAGGCUCGUGUUUCUUUUAAAGGUUUUGUAAUUAGUACACAGGGUGCCUUGUUGCUGUCUGUUGUGGAAAAGUAAGACACCACUGAGUGUCUCAGAAGCUGGCUUGAAAUGAGCAAAAAAGGGAUUUUUCUAUCCUG